UUGGUANUGGCCGAAAGGCUGAACCAGCAACGCCGCGUGAGGGAUGAAGAUCCAAGGAUCGUAAACCUCUGUUAGAAGGGACGAACAAUCCCCUGGUGAAUAGCUAGGGGGCCUGACGGUACCUUCAGAGAAAGCCCCGGCUAACUCCGUGCCAGCAGCCGCGGUAAUACGGGGGGGGCAAGCGUUGUCCGGAAUUAUUGGGCGUAAAGGGCGCGUAGGUGGAAUGGUAAGUUGAGGGUGAAAGCCCGGGGCUUAACUCCGGGUCUGCCUUCAAGACUGUCAUUCUUGAGUAUGGAAGAGGGAAGUGGAAUUCCCGGUGUAGCGGUGAAAUGCGUAGAUAUCGGGAAGAACACCGGUAGCGAAGGCGGCUUCCUGGUCCAUUACUGACACUGAGGCGCGAAAGUGUGGGGAGCAAACAGGAUUAGAUACCCUGGUAGUCCACACGGUAAACGAUGGGCACUAGGUGUUGGAGGGCUCGACCCCUUCAGUGCCGCAGCUAACGCAUUAAGUGCCCCGCCUGGGGAGUACGGCCGCAAGGUUGAAACUCAAAGAAAUUGACGGA
rnacentral:rRNA from 1 species